GUUUUACACGGGGGUGGUGCGCCACACGGUUUCUUGAGUCUUGUUUUGACUGUGACGUUGCCAGUUAACCUCAAAAGACUCCAGGAAGCUGCUGCACGGCUCCAAGAUGCAAGAUUAUGGAGUUUCAGAGGUACUGCCCGUCCAUACAGUGAUGCCUCCACGACUCUCCACAGGAUUGAGCACAGAGCUGGUGACGUGCUGAAGCUGAUGAAAAGCGGCGUUGUGAGCCAUCCCAUGCGCUCCUAGAGUCUCUUUACAUCUCACUGAAUCCAGAAAGUUAACAGGCCCUGGCAGGCAUCUGAAUAAGAGGGAGGUGCAACCCAGAUCUCCCAGUUAGAGUCUCUCUGUGAUGGGGUCGUAAACACUGGGGCUUAAUUGGGAAACCGGCCGGUGCGCAGCUUGUUAUUCAUCAGCCAUUUAUUGAUGCUCAAAGCUCCAUGAGAGUUGGAGCGGGGGAGCCUGCACAGGGCCUCACAAUGGCAUGAAGAUUCAACUAUUCACAAGCUCAUCGGAGACGGAUAUGAGGCCAAAUAGGAAAUGGAGUUGGAUUUCUGCAGUGUGCCAGCAGCGCUCUUUAAUGCCCCUCCUCUGCAUCAGCUGAACUAGGCUACACAAAAGUCCUCAGGAGCCAUUCAGA